rnacentral:misc_RNA from 1 species
GAACGCAUCUUGCGCCCCGUGGCAUUCCGCGGGGCAUGUCUGUUUGAGUGUCGUUUGACCUCUCAACCGCUUUGGUAUUCGAUUACAAAAGUCGGCUUGGAACUUGGGUGCCUCUGGCGAAACGCAAAAGGGCUUCGGCCCUGUCGCCCACCCCAAAGUCAGUUGGGCCAACCGCGCGGAUGAGCGGACGGUUUGACCACAGUGUUGUAAGGUUCGCCUCACUGUCGGGACGUCCAUUUCCGUUAGCACGAAGGCAUUUGAAACCCGAUACUAUUGAUUUUGACCUCAAAUCAGACAGGAUUACCCGCUGAACUUAAG